GACGAACGCUGGCGGCGUGCCUAAUACAUGCAAGUCGAACGCUUCUUUCCUCCCGAGUGCUUGCACUCAAUUGGAAAGAGGAGUGGCGGACGGGUGAGUAACACGUGGGUAACCUACCCAUCAGAGGGGGAUAACACUUGGAAACAGGUGCUAAUACCGCAUAACAGUUUAUGCCGCAUGGCAUAAGAGUGAAAGGCGCUUUCGGGUGUCGCUGAUGGAUGGACCCGCGGUGCAUUAGCUAGUUGGUGAGGUAACGGCUCACCAAGGCCACGAUGCAUAGCCGACCUGAGAGGGUGAUCGGCCACACUGGGACUGAGACACGGCCCAGACUCCUACGGGAGGCAGCAGUAGGGAAUCUUCGGCAAUGGACGAAAGUCUGACCGAGCAACGCCGCGUGAGUGAAGAAGGUUCUCGGAUCGUAAAACUCUGUUGUUAGAGAAGAACAAGGACGUUAGUAACUGAACGUCCCCUGACGGUAUCUAACCAGAAAGCCACGGCUAACUACGUG
rnacentral:rRNA from 1 species